rnacentral:rRNA from 1 species
GAUACCCUGGUAGUGCACGCCGUAAACGAUGUCAACUAGUUGUUCGUGUCAUUAACGAUGUGAGUAACGCAGCUAACGCACUAAGUUGACCGCCUGGGGAGUACGGCCGCAAGGUUAAAACUCAAAUGAAUUGACGGGGGCCCGCACAAGCGGUGGAGCAUGUGGUUUAAUUCGAUGCAACGCGAAGAGCCUUACCAUCCCUUGACAUCCAGUGAAUUUUCUAGAGAUAGAUGAGUGCCUUCGGGAACACUGAGACAGGUGCUGCAUGGCUGUCGUCAGCUCGUGUCGUGAGAUGUUGGGUUAAGUCCCGCAACGAGCGCAACCCUUGUCCUUAGUUGCCAGCAUUCAGUUGGGCACUCUAAGGAGACUGCCGGUGACAAACCGGAGGAAGGUGGGGAUGACGUCAAGUCAUCAUGGCCCUUAUGGGCAGGGCUACACACGUGCUACAAUGGACGGUACAGAGGGUCGCCAACCCGCGAGGGGGAGCUAAUCCCACAAAGCCGUUCGUAGUCCGGAUCGCAGUCUGCAACUCGACUGCGUGAAGUCGGAAUCGCUAGUAAUCGCGAAUCAGAAUGUCGCGGUGAAUACGUUCCCGGGCCUUGUACACACCGCCCGUCACACCAUGGGAGUGGGUUGCACCAGAAGUGGAUAGUCUAACCUUCGGGAGGACGUUCACCACGGUGUGAUUCAUGACUGGGGUGAAGUCGUAACAAGGUAACC